UGGGGAAUAUUGGACAAUGGGCGCAAGCCUGAUCCAGCAAUGCCGCGUGUGUGAAGAAGGCCUUCGGGUUGUAAAGCACUUUUAUCAGGAGCGAAACGCUGUCGGCUAAUACCCGGCGGAACUGACGGUACCUGGGGAAUAAGCACCGGCUAACUUCGUGCCAGCAGCCGCGGUAAUACGAAGGGUGCAAGCGUUAAUCGGAAUUACUGGGCGUAAAGCGUGCGUAGGCGGUUUCUUAAGUCUGCUGUGAAAUCCCCGGGCUCAACCUGGGAACGGCAGUGGAUACUGGGAGGCUAGAGUGUGUCAGAGGGUGGUGGAAUUCCCGGUGUAGCGGUGAAAUGCGUAGAGAUCGGGAGGAACAUCAGUGGCGAAGGCGGCCACCUGGGACAACACUGACGCUGAGGCACGAAAGCGUGGGGAGCAAACAGGAUUAGAUACCCUGGUAGUCCACGCCCUAAACGAUGCGAACUGGAUGUUGGUCUCAACUCGGAGAUCAGUGUCGAAGCUAACGCGUUAAGUUCGCCGCCUGGGGAGUACGGUCGCAAGACUGAAACUCAAAUGAAUUGACGGGGUCAUA
rnacentral:rRNA from 1 species